rnacentral:rRNA from 1 species
GGCUACAGUCAUACAACCCUGAACACACCUUGUCUCAGAAGGUAAGCAGGGUCGGGCCUGGUUAGUACUUGGAUGGGAGACCACCUGGGAAUACCGGGUGCUGCAGGCU